rnacentral:rRNA from 1 species
CGGGAAAACUCACCAGGUCAGGACACGGUAAGGAUUGACGGACUGAAGGCUCUUUCUCGAUUCCGUGGAAAGUGGUGCAUGGCCGUUUUUGGUUGGUGGAUCGAUCCGUCUGGUUAAUUCCGUUAACGAACGAGACCUCGGCACUCCGAAUAGCGCGGCGGACGUCGCGGCCUCCGGGGCCGUCUUCCGCACGAGCUUCUUAGAGGGACCGUCCCCCGCCGGGGAAGGAGGUGCGAGGCAACGACAGGUCUGUGAUGCCCUUAGAUGUUCUGGGCCGCACGCGCAUUACACUGACGCGUCCAACGGGUGACUCCCGACCCGAAGGGCCGGGGAAUCCGCAAGGCGCGUCGUGAUGGGGAUUGAACGUUGCAAUUGUUGUUCACGAACGAGGAAUUCCUAGUAGGCGCGGGUCAUCAACCCGCGCCGAUUACGUCCCUGCCC